UGGGGAAUUUUGGACAAUGGGGGCAACCCUGAUCCAGCAAUGCCGCGUGUGUGAAGAAGGCCUUCGGGUUGUAAAGCACUUUUGUCCGGGAAGAAAUCCCACCUGAUAAUACCGGGUGUGGAUGACGGUACCGGAAGAAUAAGGACCGGCUAACUACGUGCCAGCAGCCGAGGUAAUACGUAGGGCCCAAGCGUUAAUCGGAAUUACUGGGCGUAAAGCUUGCGCAGGCGGUUGUGCAAGACCGAUGUGAAAUCCCCGGGCUUAACCUGGGAAUUGCAUUGGGGACUGCACGGCUAGAGUGUGUCAGAGGGGGGUAGAAUUCCACGUGUAGCAGUGAAAUGCGUAGAGAUGUGGAGGAAUACCGAUGGCGAAGGCAGCCCCCUGGGAUAACACUGACGCUCAUGCACGAAAGCGUGGGGAGCAAACAGG
rnacentral:rRNA from 1 species